CGACACGGGGCCUCCGGACGAGGGCGGCCGUACCCGGUGUGCGACAAGACGGCGCG
rnacentral:ncRNA from 1 species